GUAUGAUAGUUCAACAAUUUAAUUAUUACCAUCUUGAAUUGAAGAUUCCAUUCCUUCAGCAAACCCUUGGAAAGAAGAAUUCAAUCUGAGGGCAAAAAACUGAUCUUCAUUGCCAUCACAAUCCUUGUCUUAUUCUUCAAGAUUGGAGCAAUCAAUUUUCGCAGAGCCUUCUUUGUAGAAGGCCAGAUCAUCACCGCCCUAAGAAUUACAAUCUUCUUCUUCAAGAUUUGAACAAUCUAGAUUUGUUCACCCUUGUAGUGGCAAUGGCAAGACCCAAUUCUUGAGCUAGUAAUUCCAAGAUUUGAUUCAUUUUUUUUAUUCAGUUCUCGCUUCCAUUAUUGGUCCAUCUCGAAGGUUGCAUGCAUUUCCUAGCUCUAGUCUUGAAUUUUCUGCUCCCAAGAUUGCAUUCGUUCCUCAAGACUUAGAAGCUUGGAGUUUCCCCUCACUUGUUUCUUUUUCAACAGUUUUGCUAAAGAAGCAAUAGUCAGGUCCUUAGAAUCGUUGGGCUCUGAUAACAAUUGUUGUGACCAUGCCACAACCAAACAGAAAAUAGAGGAAGGGGGAAAGAAAAUAGAAGAAAGGGAAGGAAAACAGAGGAAAGGGGGAAGAAAGGGAGAAGAAUAAGGGGAGAAAUAGAGAGAUCGUGGGAGAGAGACAGAUAAAGAGAGACUCCAGAGAAUUCUUGAAUUAUUUGAUUGAUAUCCAAAAUUACAACUCAAUUCCCUAUUUAUAGUAGUACAUGUAUAACAAUUAAUCCUAACAAUUCCCUAUUUGAUUGUUAAGUUUUUGCAUACUUGCUCGACAUUUUCUUAGUGUCAUAUAUUGCUAUAUGGUGUUACUAAAUCUCUGCACUAUUUCAGUUCCAUCAAAGGAUCCAUUACCAAAGCGUUCUUCAAUUUGGACAUAGAAUUGUUUUGUAGCCUUUACUCUUGAAAGAAUAUGUGAAAGAAUGCCAACUCGAAAGGAAAAUUUGUUGCCAUUGCAGAUCUUGAACGAUGGGAAUAUACUAGCAGUGACAUUUGUGGAUAUAUAGCUACACUAUUAGUACUAAAGAUAAGUUUUGUUCAGAACAAAAAAAUUUGAAUUGCACUCUACUUGAUGACAUUGAUGAGAGCCAGCUCCCUGAUAUAUGUGGAGGCAGACGACCAUUAGUUCCUAUCCAAGACAGCUAACCUGAUGACUCGCACCGCAUUGGAUGCUUCAGCUUUCUGCUUUACAAUUGGAAGGCUUCAUGAACCAAACAUAAGAUAAAAAUGAUAUUUGAUCCCUGCAUAUCUUUCUUCUCCCCUUAGUUUGUAAUCCUUCAACUGAGCCACAUUAAUUGGGUCACAAAUUUAAUUUUUAACUCUUGUUGAUAGUCUAUAGUUUAUACAGUUCAGAUAAAGAAAUGACUACCUCAUUGUCUCACCAUAUCUGUGAAAUGAUAAGCAUCCGCGGAGUCAGCUUUCAAGUA